UGGUCAGCUUUUGACCUCAAAUCAGGUAAGGAUACCCGGUGAACUUAA
rnacentral:rRNA from 1 species